AAAACAUCAUAAAGAGAUAAAGACCAAAAAACCAUACAAAGAGAAGGAGAAAUGGCAGACGGAAAUACCGAUUGACAUAUCUCUUGAAGUCUUUUCUCCUCUCCUUUCUUCUCUUUCUCUUUCUCUUCUUCUUUCUUCUUCUAAUU
rnacentral:RNase_P_RNA from 13 species